AACGAACGCUGGCGGCAUGCCUAACACAUGCAAGUCGAACGAGACCUUCGGGUCUAGUGGCGCACGGGUGCGUAACGCGUGGGAAUCUGCCCUUGGGUUCGGAAUAACAGUGAGAAAUUACUGCUAAUACCGGAUGAUGUCGCAAGACCAAAGAUUAUCGCCCAGGGAUGAGCCCGCGUAGGAUUAGCUAGUUGGUGAGGUAAAGGCUCACAAAGGCGACGAUCCUUAGCUGGUCUGAGAGGAUGAUCAGCCACACUGGGACUGAGACACGGCCCAGACUCCUACGGGAGGCAGCAGUGGGGAAUAUUGGACAAUGGGCGAAAGCCUGAUCCAGCAAUGCCGCGUGAGUGAUGAAGGCCCUAGGGUUGUAAAGCUCUUUUACCCGGGAUGAUAAUGACAGUACCGGGAGAAUAAGCCCCGGCUAACUCCGUGCCAGCCGCCGCCGUAA
rnacentral:rRNA from 1 species